rnacentral:rRNA from 1 species
UUGGUGAGGUAAAGGCUUACCAAGGCUUCGAUCAGUAGCUGGUCUGAGAGGACGACCAGCCACACUGGGACUGAGACACGGCCCAGACUCCUACGGGAGGCAGCAGUGGGGAAUUUUGGACAAUGGGGGAAACCCUGAUCCAGCCAUGCCGCGUGAGUGAAGAAGGCCUUCGGGUUGUAAAGCUCUUUCAGCCGGAACGAAACGGUCACGGCUAAUACCCGUGAUCACUGACGGUACCGGAAGAAGAAGCACCGGCUAACUACGUGCCAGCAGCCGCGGUAAUACGUAGGGUGCGAGCGUUAAUCGGAAUUACUGGGCGUAAAGCGUGCGCAGGCGGUUUUGUAAGUCAGAUGUGAAAUCCCCGGGCUCAACCUGGGAACUGCGUUUGAAACUAACAAGGCUA